rnacentral:rRNA from 1 species
UACGGGGGGGGCAAGCGUUGUUCGGAAUUACUGGGCGUAAAGGGUUCGUAGGUGGCUCGCUAAGCCAGACGUGAAAUCCCUCAGCUUAACUGGGGAACUGCGUCUGGGACUGGCGAGCUCGAGUGCAGGAGAGGAAUGCGGAAUUCCAGGUGUAGCGGUGAAAUUCGUAGAUAUUCGGAGGAACACCAGUGGCGAAGGCGGCUCACUGGCUCGACACUGACGCUGAGGUGCGAAAGCGUGGGGAGCAAACAGG